UGGGGGAAUAUUGCACAAUGGGCGCAAGCCUGAUGCAGCGACGCCGCGUGAGGGGAUGACGGCCUUCGGGUUGUAAACCUCUUUCAAAUAGGGGACGAAGCGCAAGUGACGGUACCUAUAGAAGAAGGACCGGCCAACUACGUGCCAGCAGCCGCGGUAAUACGUAGGGUCCGAGCGUUGUCCGGAAUUACUGGGCGUAAAGAGCUCGUAGGUGGUUGUCGCGUUGUUCGUGAAAACUCACAGCUUAACUGUGGGCGUGCGGGCGAUACGGGCAGACUAGAGUACUGCAGGGGGAGACUGGAAUUCCUGGUGUAGCGGUGGAAUGCGCAGAUAUCAGGAGGGAACACCGGUGGCGAAGGCGGGUCUCUGGGCAGUAACUGACGCUGAGGAGCGAAAGCGUGGGGAGCGAACAGGAUUAGAUACCCUGGUAGUCCACGCCGUAAACGGUGGGUACUAGGUGUGGGUUUCCUUCCUUGGGAUCCGUGCCGUAGCUAACGCAUUAAGUACCCCGCCUGGGGAGUACGGCCGCAAGGCUAAAACUCAAAUGAAUUGACGGGGGUCAUAGCUGUUUUCCU
rnacentral:rRNA from 1 species